GGGGGCAUAUCUCAGGGGUAGAGCAUCUGCCUCGCAUGCAGAAGGUCCUGGGUUCAAUCCCCAGUAUCCCCA